AACGCACGAGACCUGCGGACCUGCGGAGGGAUCAUUAUCGAGUAAGGGUCUUCUCAGGCCUGACCUCCCAUCCUAUGUUUAUUAAACCGACGUUGCUUCGGCGGGCCCGUCUCACGACCGCCGGAGGACUGUAAGAUGUCCUCUGGCCCGCGCCCGCCGGCGGCCAAAACUUUACCAAUUCUGAUUUAAAAAUAUUGUCACUCUGAGCACGUUUUUUUGAAUUUAAAAGCAAAACUUUUA
rnacentral:misc_RNA from 1 species